CGGAAGGGGUGUAACUUCGCCACUAUACGCAAAUGUUUGCUUAAAGAUAGGACUACUCUGUUUAAGAGUCUAUCCAAGAUCUGAGAGAGCUUCUCAUGAUGACCCCUUUGGCUGAAGUGACCUGCUGCAGCUCUCACUUUGCGGCUGGACUGCUGGACGCGGUUGGGGUCGGAGAGCCGCCCUUCGCUCGAUUGCUAACGGAAUCACUUCGCGUAAGCAAACUACACAACCUGGCGGAAGCAAGCACCGCCUAGGGGCAAUCCGGAGCGCGCGUGCUCCCUUCCUUUUCUCCGGAAAAUUCAGCUUUAAAUAUCACAGAAGUCAGCCCACACGCUGUCCUAAACAACUGGGAGAGUUAAGCCAGCUCGCCCACCCGCUUUCAUCUGCUGGAAAAGCAACCUCUCACAAAGGUGUUCGGGCAAAGCAUUCCCCUGGGGCAGGGGCAGUUUAGAAUAUCGUUAGCCUCACAGCAUAAUUGCAUAAGUCAUAUCUUAAAGUUCAUCUUCUAUUAAGCGUCAAAAAUGCCUUAGUUAAAUAUGACUUUGGCAGAUAUUGAUUAUGGAAUGUAAAAAUCACUCUGAAUGGCUUAGGAUGUAGCCAUACAGAAAAAUGUCACCUAGACAACUAUGCUAUGAGACAAAUUAUAAUGCAUUCUGUCUUGUUUAUCGAUCCUCUUUGCCAUGAGAAUAAGUUUGGUUCUUUAUUUUGUUAAUUUGUCUCAUUUAUGUGAAUGUAUUUAUUUUGUUGAGUUGAUUUGCAUGUCUAAAGGUAAAGUCCAGGUCAUUUCCUUUGUAUUCCAUAUAUAAAUCUGGCCCGUCUACCAUGCUGGGGUUGUGUUGUUGCUAGCAGCCUUGAGGCUAACAUGCUGUUAUCCGGGGUGAUUGAUUUACUGACAUGUCUUUAGGAAUAAAUCUGCUGGAUUCUUCUACCCAAACAACUCAUCCUCAUUAAACCCUCCAGCGACAUUGUUCGGCUAACUCUCUCUCACACACACUCACACUCUCACACACA